AAACUAGAUUCGAGACAAUGUACUAAGUAUUUGAACAUGUUAUUACUCCAACCUCGUGAAAGUGACAAACUGACACGUUUUUAGUUAUUGCACAUGCGCAGCUUAACGCGAGACAACCGUUACACCCGAUUACGUGUUUUUGCGCAUGAGCAGUUGCCGGGGUCACGUGCUAGUUGGAACUAGGAAACUCCGAUAUUUCCAACAUUCGUUGAACGCGGCACGUGUAUAACUACAACCAGUUAGGAGGUUGGACAUUUCCGAGUUUCGACAAGCACUUGGACGCGGCACCAGCUAGCCAACGUCGCCAUGACAUCGCCUACAAGCGUGAUCAGAUGUGUUUCCUUCCUGAAAGUCAGAAAGCAGUACUUCUCCUCUUUUCCAACCCCAGUCUGACGCACAUGCGUCCUCCAGGGAAGUGGGGAGGGGUGGAGGUGGGGAGGGCAAACAGAAAAAGAUUGGGUAAUAAAUGUUGUGGUUUCUUCGGUUGGAAAACUAUUUGGUGAUGGUUCCUUAUUCACUUUUCACGGAUCUACACACUUCACAGUUUUCACAUCAUUGCCUUUUCCACACAGGUUUCAAUAACUUUAUCCAUGGCAUAGACACACAUGUACAGAGCACAUGAUUCGGAGUUCUUCUGUUGAAGGCUAUCAUAAUGUCAUGCUGAUCUGACACUGGUGUAUAAGAAGAAUAAAGAGCAAACAUCUU